rnacentral:tRNA from 2 species
GGCGCAUUCGGCAAGUGGUUAAGCCACAAGGCUUUCAACCUUGGAACGGCGGGUUCGAUUCCCCAUGCGUCA